UACGUAGGGGGCCCAGCGUUGCUCGGAAUCAUUGGGCGUAAAGCGCGCGUAGGUGGUUCAGCAAGUUGGAUGUGAAAGCCCUGGGCUCAACCUGGGAACUGCAUCCAAAACUACUGAGCUAGAGUACGGUAGAGGGUAGUGGAAUUUCCUGUGUAGCGGUGAAAUGCGUAGAUAUAGGAAGGAACACCAGUGGCGAAGGCGACUACCUGGACUGAUACUGACACUGAGGUGCGAAAGCGU
rnacentral:rRNA from 1 species